UGGUCUUGACAUAUAAAGAACUUUCCAGAGAUGGAUUGGUGCCUGCUUGCAGGAGCUUUCAUACAGGUGCUGCACGGCUGUCGUCAGCUCGUGUCGUGAGAUGUUGGGUUAAGUCCCGCAACGAGCGCAACCCUCGUCGUUAGUUGCUAACAGUUCGGCUGAGAACUCUAACGAGACUGCCUACGCAAGUAGGAGGAAGGUGAGGACGACGUCAAGUCAUCAUGGCCCUUACGACCAGGGCUACACACGUGCUACAAUGGGGUAUACAAAGAGCAGCAAUACGGUGACGUGGAGCGAAUCUCAAAAAUGCCUCCCAGUUCGGAUUGUAGUCUGCAACUCGACUACAUGAAGUUGGAAUCGCUAGUAAUCGUAGAUCAGCUAUGCUACGGUGAAUACGUUCCCGGGUCU
rnacentral:rRNA from 1 species